CCAAUAGCGUAUAUUAAAGUUGUUGCAGUUAAAAAGCUCGUAGUUGAACUUCGGGGUUCACCCAUUGGUCAGGCUUAAUUGUCUGUACUGGUGAGAUGAGUCUCUACCUUCUGAGGAACUUUCAUGCCAUUUAUUUGGUGUGGUUGGAAAUCAGGACUGUUACUUUGAAAAAAUUAGAGUGUUUAAAGCAGGCUAACGUCUGAAUACAUUAGCAUGGAAUAAUGAAAUAGGACGGAUUGAUUCUAUUUCGUUGGUUUCUAGGGUCACCGUAAUGAUUAAUAGGGAUAGUUGGGGGCAUUAGUAUUCAAUUGUCGGAGGUGAAAUUCUUGGAUUUAUUGAAGACUAACUACUGCGAAAGCAUUUGCCAAGGAUGUUUUCAUUAAUCAAGAACGAAAGUUAGGGGAUCGAAGACGAUCAGAUACCGUCGUAGUCUUAACCAUAAACUAUGCCGACUAGGGAUCGGACGCAGUUAAUUUUAUAAUGACGUGUUCGGCACCUUACG
rnacentral:rRNA from 1 species